CCUAAUGAGGGUGAUGCUACUCCACUCAUUAUUGCAUUGAGCCUUUUGGAUCAUCGUGGUCCAAAUCCUUGAACAUAAGAAGUUCCAUUCGUUGUGGUUUCUGAAUUUCUAGUCAUUGAACUUUUCUUUUAUGUUUAUUCAAAGAAUUUUUAUAAAAAAAUUUAGGUAUAAGUGUGGAUGCAAAUUUUCUCCUCCUCGAUCUUGGAUGAUUUUGCACCUACAAAACAACUAGCACCUUAGGUUAAGGCCAAAAGCCUCACGCGCCCACGAUGAAUGGGGGGGGCUUUGGCCGAAGAAACUCCGAUGCCAAAGUUAGAAUUUUAGAGAGAAAUAGUGUUUAGAGUAUUUGGGAUUUUUUGCAAGAGGUUUGGAAUGAGUGUUUGGUAAAAAUGGGUGACUAUUUAUAGGACUAGGUUGGUCCACUUUUCCAAGAAAGUGGCCGGCCACUUUGUCUAUUUUUUGGUGAGUUUGUGGUUUAAUUAGCCACUUUAUUGGCUAAUAAAAUAUGAUAGAAAUAAAUGGGGAGUUACCAAAUUGAAUGACUAGCUUUAUUUGGGUAAUAAGGUGGAGAAAAUCAGAAAAGGUAUGGAGCAAAGGGAGGUGGCCGGUUUUGUCUACUAAUUUGGGUCACUUUAUUGACAAUUAGGGGAUUAAUUGAGUUGAUCCCCUAAUUAAUAAAUUAUUUAUGAUUUUAAGGGAUGAUUUUAGGAGAUAUGGGAAGAAUAUAUUAUUUAGAUAAUUAAUUAACUAAAUAAUAUAUUAGAGAAAUUAAGUUUCGGAAAUAAUUACCUAAAAUGAGAUAGUUUGGAAUUGGUUACCUCUUUUGGAGCAUUUUUUAAUUGGUUGAGGAUGAUUACCCACUACUUGCGCGUAGGAAUCCCGUUAUACCUUAAGGGUAUUUUUGUCUUCUUUUGUCCCAAAGUCCACGUGUCACUUUGUGAUCAUUUUUGGCUCCACAAAUGCCCCCACACAUGUUGGGCUGCUCGCAAAAAAGGGCAACAGGUGUAGAGAUUUUCUUGCUUUAGGAAACUUUGAAUUUGUUUCCCUCUUUGAUGUUGAUUCUCUCUUCUAAUAGGAAAUUAGAUCCUUCUAGGAAAAGGAAAUAAAUUCCUCUCAAAGUUUAUUUAAAUCCACCUUAAGUGGAUUAUUAAAUCAACUUUUAGAGAGAAAUUUAUUCUACCUUACAAGAGAGAAAGAGCUUAGAGGAUAUUUGUUUCCCCUCCUCUAGCAAUUUUCUACAUCUUGCCCGUGCAAAGGACCGUCCUUCGUUGCUUGCUUCGUCUUCUCGUUGUUUCUAGGUAAGAAAAAAAAAAUUAUUUUUCUUGUCUUCUUGAUUUUUUGGAAUUUUGGAUCUUGACUCUUGGCUUGAUGGGAAUCGGAGACUUGUGAUGGGCUGAUCUGGUGAAUCAUGGCAUGGCAACGCCGUGAAAAAA
rnacentral:lncRNA from 1 species